ACUAACAAGGAUUCCCCUAGUAACGGCGAGUGAAGCGGGAUGAGCUCAAAUUUAAAAUCUGGCGGUCUCAGAUCGUCCGAGUUGUAGUCUAGAGAAGCGUUUUCCGUGCUGGCCUGUGUACAAGUCCGUUGGAACACGGCGUCAUAGAGGGUGAGAAUCCCGUCCUUGACACAGAUCUCCAGUGCUUUGUGAUGCGCUCUCAAAGAGUCGAGUUGUUUGGGAAUGCAGCUCAAAAUGGGUGGUAAAUUCCAUCUAAAGCUAAAUAUUGGCGAGAAACCGAUAGCGAACAAGUACCGUGAGGGAAAGAUGAAAAGCACUUUGGAAAGAGAGUUAAACAGUACGUGAAAUUGUUGAAAGGGAAACGAUUGAAGUCAGUCAUGCUUUCCGAGACUCAGCCGGUUCUGCCGGUGUACUUCUCGGUUUGCAGGCCAGCAUCAGUUUUGGGCGGUGGAAAAGGUUGGCGGGAAUGUGGCAUCUUCGGAUGUGUUAUAGCCCGCUUUCGAAUACAUCGCCCGGGACUGAGGAACGCAGCACGCCUCUUGUAGGUCGGUCUUCGGACACGUCCG
rnacentral:rRNA from 1 species